GCUGGAAUAGCUCAAUUGGGAGAGCGUUAGACUGAAGUUGUUUACGCAUCUAAAGCCACCCAAUUCAAUCCCGGGUUCCGGCA
rnacentral:tRNA from 1 species